UAGUCCAGAUCAAUUACAUCAGGAUUGCUGGGAGGAUUCCCCAGUAUUUCUAAUGGACAUCUAAGGCUGAGAAUCACUGUUUUAUUGGCCAGGAAGUAGCUUAUGAGAAACUGGCUGGGAGCUAUAUUAGAGAUAGAGAAGAGCUUGGAUUGUGGAAAACCUAGCUAUGUGGAGUUAAUUAUUUUAAUCUAAUUCUAAUGUUUCUAUUGCAAGCUGCCUUAAAGUAUUUUCCUAAGUCAGGCCAAAGUAAAUCCAGAGCCUGGAAUAGCAGAUGAAGGAGUUUGAACUUUAUGCUGUGGCAGUGAAAGGUCAUGUUUGGUCCUUGAAGAGUUUUGAGCAGAGGAUGAUCUGGCAAGGCCCUAAUCCCAGAUGAAUCCAAUAUCUGUUUUUGCCUGGCCUCCACCUGGGCUGUUGAGUGCUGGUGAUGAAAAUCUCACAACAGGGCAGAUGGAUAUUGAUAUAAAUGCAUGGCCGCACCUGCAAAUGGGCCCUCAACAUUGGCU
rnacentral:lncRNA from 1 species